UACGAAGGGGGCUAGCGUUGUUCGGAAUUACUGGGCGUAAAGCGCGCGCAGGCGGUCUUCCAAGUCAGUGGUGAAAGCCCGGAGCUCAACUCCGGAACUGCCAUUGAAACUGUGAGACUUGAGGAUGAGAGAGGUGAGUGGAAUUCCCAGUGUAGAGGUGAAAUUCGUAGAUAUUGGGAAGAACACCGGUGGCGAAGGCGGCUCACUGGCUCAUUACUGACGCUCAGGCGCGAAAGCGUGGGGAUCAAACAGG
rnacentral:rRNA from 1 species